rnacentral:rRNA from 1 species
UACGGGGGGGGCAAGCGUUGUUCGGAAUUACUGGGCGUAAAGGGCUCGUAGGCGGCCAACUAAGUCGGAUGUGAAAUCCCCAGGCUCAACUUGGGAACUGCAUCCGAUACUGGGGGGCUUGAAUCCGGGAGAGGGAUGUGGAAUUCCAGGUGUAGCGGUGAAAUGCGUAGAUAUCUGGAGGAACACCGGUGGCGAAGGCGGCAUCCUGGACCGGUAUUGACGCUGAGGCGCGAAAGCCAGGGGAGCAAACGGG